GUGUUUGCGGGCGUGGCAUCAUCAAGAUUCACGACCUUGCUAUCUUCACUGAUGGCUUUCAAGGGAUUGAGAAUCUUGAUGAUGCUGCAUCCGCAGACAA
rnacentral:pre_miRNA from 2 species